rnacentral:tRNA from 1 species
GCAAGGGUAGUCAAGCCUGGCCAACGACGUUAGGUUCAGGGCCUAAUCCUUAGUGGUUCAUGGGUUCAAAUCCCACCCCUUGCACCA